UAUUAUCUCACCUCCACAAUAUUAAAAUACAUGAAUAUUCAAUGCAUUCAACAAUAAAAAGCAUGACUCUAAAUAAUUACCAUUUCACAUGUCAUCAUAAUUUAUCAUUCUAAGCCCCAAACAUAUGCUUAGAAAUGUAUGACAUUAGAUCUUUCAUCCAACGCUUGCCUUCUACCUAAUUGAGGGUUUACAUUUUGACGCAGUUAAUCAUAAUAUUUAUUAAUGAC
rnacentral:lncRNA from 1 species